rnacentral:lncRNA from 12 species
GUCUGAAGUGAUCACAAGGAGGCAAUCUGGACAUUUAAACAAAAUAAAAAUGGCUGAGUCAGAUGAUCCAUGGGAACUGUUUGCUCUGUUAUUAGUCUGUGGCCAAGGCAAAGCAUUGGAUGUAACUCUUUUCCCUGCAGAAAGGAGGAAACCAGACGAGUGUCUGAUUCAGAUGAGCUGCAGCUCCCUUUGGCAGAAGGUUCAGAAGCAGGAGCUUCCUAGUAUCUUCCCAAAAACUCCAGUGGCCUGUGUCACCACUAUGAAGCAUGAUGUCUUUCUAUAAAUGUUACCUUUCCAUUCUCAUAUGAAAACCAAAUCUACUUAUGCAAAUCUUGUCUGCUACUAUUCACUGUCUCUUUUUUUU